rnacentral:rRNA from 1 species
GAUGAACGCUGACAGAAUGCUUAACACAUGCAAGUCUACUUGAUCCUUCGGGUGAUGGUGGCGGACGGGUGAGUAACGCGUAAAGAACUUGCCUUGCAGUCUGGGACAACGUCUGGAAACGGACGCUAAUACCGGAUAUUAUGAUUGAAUCGCAUGAUUUGAUUAUGAAAGCUAUAUGCGCUGCGAGAGAGCUUUGCGUCCCAUUAGUUAGUUGGUGAGGUAACGGCUCACCAAGACGAUGAUGGGUAGCCGGCCUGAGAGGGUGAACGGCCACAAGGGGACUGAGACACGGCCCUUACUCCUACGGGAGGCAGCAGUGGGGAAUAUUGGACAAUGGACCAAAAGUCUGAUCCAGCAAUUCUGUGUGCACGAUGAAGUUUUUCGGAAUGUAAAGUGCUUUCAGUUGGGACGAAGUAAGUGACGGUACCAACAGAAGAAGCGACGGCUAAAUACGUGCCAGCAGCCGCGGUAAUACGUAUGUCGCAAGCGUUAUCCGGAUUUAUUGGGCGUAAAGCGCGUCUAGGCGGUUUGGUAAGUCUGAUGUGAAAAUGCGGGGCUCAACUCCGUAUUGCGUUGGAAACUGCCAAACUAGAGUACUGGAGAGGUGGGCGGAACUACAAGUGUAGAGGUGAAAUUCAUAGAUAUUUGUAGGAAUGCCGAUGGGGAAGCCAGCCCACUGGACAGAUACUGACGCUAAAGCGCGAAAACGUGGGUAGCAAACAGG